GGCCUGAUGGAGAGGCGGCUGCCCACCUUGAGCCAGAGCAGAUGCGGGAGCUGCGGUGUGAGAACGUCGCCACCUGCCUGGGCAUUUUCGUGAUCUCUGGGGAACCUGCUUCGGAAAGAGGUCCUGCACCUAGACUGGACCUUCAAGGCCUCCCUGCUGCUGGAUUUGAUCUGCAUGAGAUCCCUCCCUGGGCCUGGCACUGCAGGGAAGUGGGGAUGGCAGGGAGACAGGAGAUGCUCAGAUUUCCCACAGCUGGGCUCUUUCAGCUUUGUCUAAUCCAGGGAUAUCCAAACUGCAUGGCCACGGGUACAGGGAGGCAGGAAGGCUUUCUGGGGCUUGUGGGAAUUCCGAGAGAACCAGGUUUCCUCUCAUUCGUUACAGAUCCAAUGGACCCCCAUUAUGUCCAUCUCAGGGCAUGAGGUAUCUGCACCACCACCAUUUCCCUCCUGGCUGCCUCAAGUUCCAAAACUGUGUGGUGGACAGAUGCUUUGUGCUCAAGGUCACUGACCAUGGUUAUGCAGAGCCCCUGGACACUUAGCAGGAUCCCCAACCCUGGCCAGCCCCAGAAGGUCAGCUCAGGGAUAGGCAGGGGGCUGCCAGUAGGUUUGGGGGCCUCUGUUUAACCAGGUGCUUGUAAGGUGCAGGGAGAGGGAGAUCUCCAGUCCUCUGGUAUUGGUGACCUUGAGUUGAUCGCUUCUCCUCUCUGAACAAGCUGUAGGCUCUUUACCUGUGAAUUGGGGAGAAUACAUGCACCCAGCCUGGCUUGGGUGGUCAGCAGGUAAUGGUGGCAUGGCCCUGCCCUAUGAUUGCAGAGCUGCUAUGGACAGCUCCU
rnacentral:lncRNA from 1 species